UGCAUCUGUUAUAGUGCCUCGCUGUAAUGAAAUCAUGUUCAUGUUUGGAGCAGUUGGUCUUGUUUUGUUGAGCUCUGUUACACUGACAGCAGAACUGAUCCUGAAAGCACGAAAUGGUGAGCGUGUCAUGAAGGAUAUGAGAGUCAUUGUAUUCCCUUCUGAAAGUGUUUUUGGCUUGUAUUGGCUGAUUUUACAAAUGCGUGCUUUCUUGAGGAUUGUUACAACUGGAUCUACACACAAUCAAAGGAACUCACAUCAAAGAGGUCAACUCAUGAAUACACCAGAGAAUCGUGAAAUGGAGAAUCUGUCUGCAGCUGAUCCUGAUGUUUCACAGACAAAGACAUGAGAAACAGUCUUUCACAUUUACCCUGUACUCUGACUGCUCUGUCUGUCUGUCUGCAAAAGAGUUCCUCUUGAGUAAAAAACAACAAACGGAGACUGAAAACUAAAUUGUAAAGCAGAGUCUAGUGACAUUCUGUUACAAAUAACAAAUGGAUAAUUUAGUAUUGGUUGCCAAAUGAUUUCAAAAGUAAAACAUACUGUUUUCAGUAAUCUCUUUUCCUUCCCUCUCUCCAAACAACAGGGCUAA
rnacentral:lncRNA from 1 species